AUGCUGAUCGUUUUGCUUGCUGUUUUACAUGGUGCUGGGGUUGGAAGCCUCAUCACGCAGUGGCCAGAAGAAACCCUUAGGAAAGCUGGAGAGACUGUUGACAUCUCCUGCUUCCAGAAUUAUACCACACUUACCUAUACAUUGUGGUACCAGCAGACUCCAAGAAAUGGUCUGAAGUUAGUAGCCAGUACUUCUACAUGGAUGCAGAACUCUUACGAAGAGUUCCACAUAGGCCAAGAGUUUCACGAGGCCAAGUUUCACAUAAGCAGAGACAAUAAUGAUCAUUCUGUGAUGACAAUCAAGAAUGUGACAUCCAAUGAUGCAGUCACAUAUUUCUGUGCUGCGAGUGUUCACACGGUACAGCAAGGGGAUUGA